AGAGUUUGAUCAUGGCUCAGGAUGAACGCUGGCGGCGUGCCUAAGACAUGCAAGUCGAGUGGGUUUAGGCCCACGGCGAACGGGUGAGUAAUAUCUAGGAACGUAUCUUUAGUUGAGGAUAUCCCGCCGAAAGGCGGAGCAAUACUCGAUGUGACCGUAAGGUUAAAGCAGCAAUGCGCUAAAGAAGCGGCCUGGACACCAUCAGCUAGUUGGUAAGGUAAUGGCUUACCAAGGCCAUGACGGUUAGGGGCCCCGAGAGGGGAGACCCCCACACUGGAACUGCGACACGGUCCAGACUCCUACGGGAGGCAGCAGUUUGGAAUUUUGGACAAUGGGCGAAAGCCUGAUCCAGCGACGCCGCGUGGUGGAUGAAGGCCUUCGGGUUGUAAACACCUUUUGUCAGGGAAGAAUUUUUGACGGUACCUGACGAAUAAGAGGUUGCUAACUCUGUGCCAGCAGCAGCGGUAAUACAGAGACCUCAAGCGUUAUCCGGAAUCAUUGGGCGUAAAGCGUACCGAUCGGUGGUUUAGAUAGUCAGAGGUGAAAUCUCAAGGCUCAACUUUGAGACUGUCCUUUGAAACUUCUAAACUAGAGGGGCAAAGAGGAAGCUAGAAUGAACGGUGUAGGGGUAAUAUCCGUUGAUAUCGUUCAGAAUACCAAUAGCGAAGGCGGCUUCUGGGUGCCACCUGACACUGCUAGGACGAAAGCGUGGGGAGCGAAUGGGAUUAGAUACCCUAGUAGUCC
rnacentral:rRNA from 1 species